ensembl:snoRNA
GUCCUUUUGUAGUUCAUCAGUGUGAUGACUGGGCAUUCACGCGAAUGUGUGAGAGUGCCACCCUCGAGCCUUGUUUCAAUGUUGGCACAUUAUGCAUCUGACU